GGGUUGUGAGGUUAAGCGACUAAGCGUACACGGUGGAUGCCCUGGCAGUCAGAGGCGAUGAAGGACGUGCUAAUCUGCGAUAAGCGCCGGUAAGGUGAUAUGAACCGUUAUAACCGGCGAUUUCCGAAUGGGGAAACCCAGUGUGAUUCGUCACACUAUCAUUAACUGAAUCCAUAGGUUAAUGAGGCGAACCGGGGGAACUGAAACAUCUAAGUACCCGAGGAAAAGAAAUCAACCGAGAUUCCCCCAGUAGCGGCGAGCGAACGGGGAGGAGCCCAGAGCCUGAAUCAGCAUGUGUGUUAGUGGAAGCGUCUGGAAAGGUGCGCGAUACAGGGUGACAGCCCCGUACACAAAAGCGCAUGUGCUGUGAGCUCGAUGAGUAGGGCGGGACACGUGGUAUCCUGUCUGAAUAUGGGGGACCAUCCUCCAAGGCUAAAUACUCCUGACUGACCGAUAGUGAACCAGUACCGUGAGGGAAAGGCGAAAAGAACCCCGGCGAGGGGAGUGAAAAAGAACCUGAAACCGUGUACGUACAAGCAGUGGGAGCACCCUUCGGGGUGUGACUGCGUACCUUUUGUAUAAUGGGUCAGCGACUUAUAUUCUGUAGCAAGGUUAACCGUAUAGGGGAGCCGGAGGGAAACCGAGUCUUAACCGGGCGUUAAGUUGCAGGGUAUAGACCCGAAACCCGGUGAUCUAGCCAUGGGCAGGUUGAAGGUUGGGUAACACUAACUGGAGGACCGAACCGACUAAUGUUGAAAAAUUAGCGGAUGACCUGUGGCUGGGGGUGAAAGGCCAAUCAAACCGGGAGAUAGCUGGUUCUCCCCGAAAGCUAUUUAGGUAGCGCCUCGUGAAUUCAUCUCCGGGGGUAGAGCACUGUUUCGGCUAGGGGGCCAUCCCGGCUUACCAACCCGAUGCAAACUGCGAAUACCGGAGAAUGUUAUCACGGGAGACACACGGCGGGUGCUAACGUCCGUCGUGAAGAGGGAAACAACCCAGACCGCCAGCUAAGGUCCCAAAGUCAUGGUUAAGUGGGAAACGAUGUGGGAAGGCCCAGACAGCCAGGAUGUUGGCUUAGAAGCAGCCAUCAUUUAAAGAAAGCGUAAUAGCUCACUGGUCGAGUCGGCCUGCGCGGAAGAUGUAACGGGGCUAAACCAUGCACCGAAGCUGCGGCAGCGACGCUGAUGCGUUGUUGGGUAGGGGAGCGUUCUGUAAGCCUGCGAAGGUGACCUGUGAGGGUUGCUGGAGGUAUCAGAAGUGCGAAUGCUGACAUAAGUAACGAUAAAGCGGGUGAAAAGCCCGCUCGCCGGAAGACCAAGGGUUCCUGUCCAACGUUAAUCGGGGCAGGGUGAGUCGACCCCUAAGGCGAGGCCGAAAGGCGUAGUCGAUGGGAAACGGGUUAAUAUUCCCGUACUUGGUGUUACUGCGAAGGGGGACGGAGAAGGCUAUGUUGGCCGGGCGACGGUUGUCCCGGUUUAAGCGUGUAGGUGUGUGUUCCAGGUAAAUCCGGUUCACUUUAACACUGAGGCGUGAUGACGAGGCACUACGGUGCUGAAGCAACAAAUGCCCUGCUUCCAGGAAAAGCCUCUAAGCAUCAGGUAACAUCAAAUCGUACCCCAAACCGACACAGGUGGUCAGGUAGAGAAUACCAAGGCGCUUGAGAGAACUCGGGUGAAGGAACUAGGCAAAAUGGUGCCGUAACUUCGGGAGAAGGCACGCUGACACGUAGGUGAAGUGAUUUACUCACGGAGCUGAAGUCAGUCGAAGAUACCAGCUGGCUGCAACUGUUUAUUAAAAACACAGCACUGUGCAAACACGAAAGUGGACGUAUACGGUGUGACGCCUGCCCGGUGCCGGAAGGUUAAUUGAUGGGGUCAGCGCAAGCGAAGCUCCUGAUCGAAGCCCCGGUAAACGGCGGCCGUAACUAUAACGGUCCUAAGGUAGCGAAAUUCCUUGUCGGGUAAGUUCCGACCUGCACGAAUGGCGUAAUGAUGGCCAGGCUGUCUCCACCCGAGACUCAGUGAAAUUGAACUCGCUGUGAAGAUGCAGUGUACCCGCGGCAAGACGGAAAGACCCCGUGAACCUUUACUAUAGCUUGACACUGAACAUUGAGCCUUGAUGUGUAGGAUAGGUGGGAGGCUUUGAAGUGUGGACGCCAGUCUGCAUGGAGCCGACCUUGAAAUACCACCCUUUAAUGUUUGAUGUUCUAACGUGGACCCGUAAUCCGGGUUGCGGACAGUGUCUGGUGGGUAGUUUGACUGGGGCGGUCUCCUCCUAAAGAGUAACGGAGGAGCACGAAGGUUGGCUAAUCCUGGUCGGACAUCAGGAGGUUAGUGCAAUGGCAUAAGCCAGCUUGACUGCGAGCGUGACGGCGCGAGCAGGUGCGAAAGCAGGUCAUAGUGAUCCGGUGGUUCUGAAUGGAAGGGCCAUCGCUCAACGGAUAAAAGGUACUCCGGGGAUAACAGGCUGAUACCGCCCAAGAGUUCAUAUCGACGGCGGUGUUUGGCACCUCGAUGUCGGCUCAUCACAUCCUGGGGCUGAAGUAGGUCCCAAGGGUAUGGCUGUUCGCCAUUUAAAGUGGUACGCGAGCUGGGUUUAGAACGUCGUGAGACAGUUCGGUCCCUAUCUGCCGUGGGCGCUGGAGAACUGAGGGGGGCUGCUCCUAGUACGAGAGGACCGGAGUGGACGCAUCACUGGUGUUCGGGUUGUCAUGCCAAUGGCACUGCCCGGUAGCUAAAUGCGGAAGAGAUAAGUGCUGAAAGCAUCUAAGCACGAAACUUGCCCCGAGAUGAGUUCUCCCUGAGACUUAGAGUCUCCUGAAGGAACGUUGAAGACGACGACGUUGAUAGGCCGGGUGUGUAAGCGCAGCGAUGCGUUGAGCUAACCGGUACUAAUGAACCGUGAGGCUUAACCUUACAACGCCGAAG
rnacentral:rRNA from 1 species